rnacentral:rRNA from 1 species
GACGAACGCUGGCGGCGUGCCUAACACAUGCAAGUCGAACGGAGAAUUUUAUUUCGGUAGAAUUCUUAGUGGCGAACGGGUGAGUAACGCGUAGGCAACCUACCCUUUAGACGGGGACAACAUUCCGAAAGGAGUGCUAAUACCGGAUGUGAUCAUCGUGCUGCAUGGCAGGAUGAAGAAAGAUGGCCUCUACAAGUAAGCUAUCGCUAAAGGAUGGGCCUGCGUCUGAUUAGCUAGUUGGUAGUGUAACGGACUACCAAGGCGAUGAUCAGUAGCCGGUCUGAGAGGAUGAACGGCCACAUUGGGACUGAGACACGGCCCAAACUCCUACGGGAGGCAGCAGUGGGGAAUCUUCCGCAAUGGACGAAAGUCUGACGGAGCAACGCCGCGUGAGUGAUGAAGGAUUUCGGUCUGUAAAGCUCUGUUGUUUAUGACGAACGUGCAGUGUGUGAACAAUGCAUUGCAAUGACGGUAGUAAACGAGGAA